ensembl:lncRNA
AUGGAAACAAGACAUCAACUACAAAAAUACAAGCCAAAUUUUUUACUCUUAGAUCCAAACAUACAUAACGUUGCUCUAAUUGUCAUAAACAUUUUUGAACUCUUAUCCCAAUUUCUGCCUGAUCCUCACAGGGCCACAAGGAGCCACUGGUCAGAAGACAAUCCAUGGCGGGGCGCUUCUGAAGAGGAGAGGGUGAGCCUAGCAGGGAGGGCAGAGGAGGAGAGGAGCAGAGAAGGCGCCCAGGAGGCCACCGCCAUCAUCAGGGAAGCAGAAGACAAAGGUGGUGAAAUGCAGAUGGCGGAGAGAGCCACACGUAAACUACUAAUUUAUUCAUCUUAUAAAAUCAUGAAUGAAUGAACAACUAGUGAGGAUGAAAAGACAUGUAUUGUCCUAUACAGGAAGACUGAGAUCACCAGCUCGGGUGGAGCCGAGAGGAAUUUUGCCAGAAGCCCUGUUCACGGUAUGUUUUCUAUUUGUCUCUCCAAUGUCGUCUUACAUGUCUAACCACCACAGUGCAAGGAUGGGAAGAAUACGAAGAUCCUUCCCAUUCACUCGUCACUACGAAAGAGAUUAACUCACAUUCCCAUUUAAUUCAGGGGCAAGAAUGCCCCAUAUGAAGGAUACCUAAUAACAUUUCUACUUAACCUAACUAAUACAAUUAAAUUGAGAAAAAGAAAUAAGUGGUACAAAAAGUAGAAGAUUGGAGAUAACAUUUCUAUAAAAUUCCUAAUUUGUAGAAAAUGUGUCACCAUUAAAAAUGCAAGCAAAACUGUUCAAAGAGUUCAGCAACUACUUUAAACAAAUAGGCCAGGCGUGGUGGCUCAACCUGUAAUCCUAGCACUUUGGGAGGCGAGGCAGGUGGAUCACUGGAGCCCAGGAGUUCAAGACCAACCUGGGUAACACAGCGAGACCCCCAUCUUUACAAAAAAUACAAAAAUUAGCUGGGUAUGGUGGUACAUGCCUAUAGUCCUGACUACUCAGGAAGCUGAGAUGGGAGGAUCACUGGAGCCUGGGAGAUCGAAGUUGCAGUUAGCCAUGAUUGCACCACUGCAUUUUAGCCUGGGCAACAGAGCAAGACCCUGUCUCAAAAAAGCAAAAACAAAAAAUCAAUAAAUAAUAAAAUAAAUGAUAUAAUUAAGCUUAUUUUAAGCUUAUUUUUAAGCUUAUAAUUAAGUUAUUUUAUAACUAAGCAUGAACUAUAAUAGAACAAAUGGAGGAAAAAGAAAUAACAUAAACCAUAAGAUUCAAAUGAAUAAAUCUCUUUAAAAGUGGACAAGACCUUUAUAGAGAAAACUAAAAAUAUCCUCGAAGGACAUACAGUAAAGGAUUGUGAAUAGUAGAGAUGUGAUCCAUGUUAGUCAAUGGUAAGACACAUAGAUACAUUAGAAUUUUACUAAAAAUAUCAGUGAAACUCCAAUGUUUAAAAUUGUAAAUAAGUUUUUUCUUAUAACUGAACAUGUAUAUUCUUAAUAUAGAAGAGCAAAGACAUUUCUAAAGACAAAACAUGGCAGGGAAGGAUAAGAUCUUGCCUAUUAGAUAAUAAGGAUGAUUACAAAACCAUACUUAAUUAGGAGAGUGAGUUUGUUGCAGUACUAGGCAGUACUAAGUAGAUCAGUGUUUCAGAGAGGCUGGACACAUACCAGUCUUUUCAAUAAAUCUGAGAAAACUGGUCAUCC